GGCGAGAUAGCCAAGUGGUAAGGCAGAGGACUACAAAUCCUUGAUCCCCGGGUUCCAACCCGGGGAUCGCC
rnacentral:tRNA from 1 species